CGCCUUGCCAGCCCGCUCAGAACUCAAAGGAAUUGACGGGGGCCCGCACAAGCGGUGGAGUAUGUGGUUUAAUUCGAUGCAACGCGAAGAACCUUACCUGGUCUUGACAUCCCGGAGACCCUUAGGAAACUAGGGGGUGCUUCCAUCUGGAAGAAUCUGGAGACAGGUGCUGCAUGGCUGUCGUCAGCUCGUGUCGUGAGAUGUUGGGUUAAGUCCCGCAACGAGCGCAACCCUUGCCUUUAGUUGCCAGCAGUUCGGCUGGGCACUCUAAAGGGACUGCCGGUGUUAAACCGGAGGAAGGUGGGGAUGACGUCAAGUCCUCAUGGCCUUUAUGACCAGGGCUACACACGUACUACAAUGGCCGAUACAAAGGGCAGCGACACUGCGAGGUGAAGCCAAUCCCGUAAAAUCGGUCUCAGUCCGGAUUGGAGUCUGCAACUCGACUCCAUGAGGUUGGAAUCGCUAGUAAUCGCGGAUCAGCCAAGCCGCGGUGAAUACGUUCCCGGGCCUU
rnacentral:rRNA from 1 species